UUUCUCUGCAGAUAAAUUUCUCUUGAAAUGUUAGUAAUGAAAGAUCAAAAGCAAAAUAGGGAAUAUUCAAAAUGAAAUCACAUCUUUAUAUUGGUAGAAGAUUAAAUGCCAUGUUUUAAAUAUUUUUAAUUCCUUGUUUUUAUAUUUUAUUAAUCUAUAACUGGCAUUUAUUUUAAAAUGGUUUGCUUUUACAGUGAGCAGUGAUAUCUAAUGCCAGUUAAAGUACAGCAUGUAAUUUUAAAAAUAAUUAUUCUUGAACACAGUGGUUAUUACUGCAUGAUCAUACAUUGAUAAGCACCAACAAAUGUGACCCUAUUAAAUGGGGAUGAUUUUGAUCAUCCAUUCUGCUGUAUAGAUAUUUCCUUCUCAUUAAAAGGCCUGAAACUAAGCCUGGCACAGGGUUACUCAUUGCUAAUCAUCUGUAGGCCCAGUACCACUGUAUGCUGAGUGUAUUACUGUAGAGAAAACUGUCUGCUCAGAAGAGUUCGGAGUCAAUGCAAAAGGAAAAAGAAUUUACAGCUUGCAGGUUCUCAAAAGCUGAUCUUGGGAAGACAAAAAGCUUUUCUCAAAGCAAUACUUGCCCAUCCACCUAUUUCAGAGGAACACAACAUCCAACAAGGCUAGUCUUUUGUUGCACUGGUGGCCAGAGUUGGACACAACUGGAAAAGGCUGCAGAGUUUGAAGAGGUAUUCAGCAAACUCCUGGUAAGAAACAAAAUGCCGUGC